CGUAUGGUGCAAGCGUUAUCCGGAUUUACUGGGUGUAAAGGGAGCGUAGACGGAUAGGCAAGUCUGGAGUGAAAACCCAGGGCUCAACCCUGGGACUGCUUUGGAAACUGCAGAUCUGGAGUGCCGGAGAGGUAAGCGGAAUUCCUAGUGUAGCGGUGAAAUGCGUAGAUAUUAGGAGGAACACCAGUGGCGAAGGCGGCUUACUGGACGGUGACUGACGUUGAGGCUCGAAAGCGUGGGGAGCAAACAGGAUU
rnacentral:rRNA from 1 species